UACGUAGGGUGCAAGCGUUGUCCGGAAUUAUUGGGCGUAAAGAGCUCGUAGGCGGUCUGUCGCGUCUGCUGUGAAAGUCCAGGCUCAACCCUGGGAUGCCGGUGGAUACUGUCGAGCUCGAGUCCGGAAGAGGCGAGUGGAAUUCCUGGUGUAGCGGUGAAAUGCGCAGAUAUCAGGAGGAACACCGAUGGCGAAGGCAGCUCGCUGGACGUGACUGACGCUGAGACGCGAAAGCGUGGGGAGCAAACAGG
rnacentral:rRNA from 1 species